rnacentral:tRNA from 1 species
GGGCGUAUGGUGGAAUUGGUAUACACGUACGCUUCAGGUGCGUAUGGGAGCAAUCCCGUGAGAGUUCGAGUCUCUCUACGCCCACCA